rnacentral:rRNA from 1 species
GACGAACGCUGGCGGCGUGCCUAAUACAUGCAAGUUGAGCGCUGAAGGUUGGUACUUGUACCAACUGGAUGAGCAGCGAACGGGUGAGUAACGCGUGGGGAAUCUGCCUUUGAGCGGGGGACAACAUUUGGAAACGAAUGCUAAUACCGCAUAAAAACUUUAAACACAAGUUUUAAGUUUGAAAGAUGCAAUUGCAUCACUCAAAGAUGAUCCCGCGUUGUAUUAGCUAGUUGGUGAGGUAAAGGCUCACCAAGGCGAUGAUACAUAGCCGACCUGAGAGGGUGAUCGGCCACAUUGGGACUGAGACACGGCCCAAACUCCUACGGGAGGCAGCAGUAGGGAAUCUUCGGCAAUGGACGAAAGUCUGACCGAGCAACGCCGCGUGAGUGAAGAAGGUUUUCGGAUCGUAAAACUCUGUUGGUAGAGAAGAACGUUGGUGAGAGUGGAAAGCUCAUAAAGUGACGGUAACUACCCAGAAAGGGACGGCUAACUACGUG